rnacentral:lncRNA from 1 species
GCUGCUGGAGGCGUUCAGAGCGCGGAGGCCCCAGGCGCGGGCCGGGCUCUCUCCCGCCUCCUCAGGCCCGGGGGUGCUGGAGCUGCCGAGGUGGGGGCUCAUCUUUGGGAGACAGGUGGGGAGUGUGAGAGACCGCGCAGCGGCGACAGGGCCGGGCGUGCCUGUGUGACGUGGGUGCAGCUGUGGGACUGUGAGGGGUGCGUGGUCGACCUUGCGUAACCUGGAUGUGCAGUGCGUGUCCUUUGCAAAGCGUGCGUUGCUGUGGCUCCGUGGCGUCAGCAACCCUUCCCUGCUGUUUCCUUUGUCCUCCUCUCAGUCAAGUAUGACUGCCACAGAGAAAUGGUCCCAUCCAGGAAAUCAGAUAUUGAGUCCUACCUGAGUUUCCAGCAAGAAGUGUCUUUGCUCAGUUCAAAAGCCACAGAAGAAGUUCUGGACGAUGUGGGCCUUCAAUCUUCUAAGAUGGGAAUAGAAAGAAGAGGAUCUACCCAGACCAGGACCCUGCUGCCCAAUCUCAGCUCUGGCUUUCUGGAUCUGUGCUUCUCUGGUAGAGGAACCCUGAGGACUGAUCUACUCUUGCAGUUCUAAAACCAUGGCCCAUGCCUCGCUAUUCCCUGGGACACAACAAUAUUGAACGUAGGCUAGUUAAUAGCCCUACAAUCUCCUCUAAGUGUUCGAGUGAAAGGAAGAGUCACAUGUGUCUCACUUUAAACCAAAAGCUAGAAAUGAUUAAACUUAGUGAGGAAAGCAUGUUGAAAGUCCAGACAGGCUGGAAGCGAGGUCUCCUGUGCCAAACAGCAGGCCAAGUUGCACAUGCAAAGGAAAUGUUCUCGAAGCAAAUUAAAAGUAUUACUCCAGUGAACACACAAUGACAAGAAAGCGAAACAGUUUUAUUGCUGAUGUGGAGAAAGUUUUAGUGGUCUGGAUAGAAGAUCAAACCAGCCACAACGUUCUGUUAAGCCUAAACCUAAUCCAGAGCAAGGCCCUAAUGCUCUUCAAUUCUAUGGAGGCUGAGAGUUGAGGAAGCUGUGGAAGAAAAGUUUGAAGCUAGCAGAGAAUAAUUCAUG